ACUCGCUUAUACUCCAAUAAGGUUACUUGGUCCCAAUUGUGGCUCGAGGUCGGAGUAGAUUCUUGUUUGAAAUGACUCAAAUAAGUAAUGUACGAACUUGAAUCAAAAAAGAUACUACGACUCAAAAAUGAGAAAAGCACACAACAAACAAUGUUAACACGAAGAACGUACACAAAACUAACUUACAAGCUAGUAGGGUAUUACUAGGUUGUCAAUUAGUGUC
rnacentral:lncRNA from 1 species